AGUGCAGGCGGGCAGCAGCGGCCCUGCCUCCGCCCUCACCUGCCGUCAGCUCCGGGGGAUCCCCCCCCCCGCGGGUUAGCGGGGCUUUUGGGGGAGCCCCUGACCUCGCUGGCAGCCGGCUCGGUCCCGGAGAGCACGGAGGGGGAGGCAGGAACCAGCUCGGCCUGAUUACAUUGUUCAGGACAGCGGCAUCCUGCUGAUAAGGUUGUGUAUCGCAGCGGCUCGCACGCCGGGCGCACCUGUCUCCUCCAGCCCUCCAAGAGAUAAACGCGGGGCGCCGGUGACAACUUCGCCAUCCCCUCCCUGCUGGUGUGGGAAACAGCCCAAGGGUGUCGUCGUGAGAAGGCCAAAGGGCGAGUUCAACUCCGGAGCGAUCCCCCCAAAGCCAGCGGGAGCUGUGCCACCAAGUUCAGGUAGAGAGACGAGCAUCUUGGUUCACCACAGGCGUGUUGAUUUGGGAGGUGGUCUGCCCAGGAUCCGCAGCAAAUUCUGCAUGGUUUGAUUCUAACAGGCAAGCACGCUGAGCUGAACCAGAAAAGCUCUGCAACCCUUCGAAGUGUCUUCAGCUACAAACUUAGGCUUGUAUUAAAGCACGAUGCAUCGUAAACUACUUUUCUCUGUCCGUUUCUGCAGCACCAACAGCACUUGAAUAGAGAAUGCUGUCCUCAAAGUAGCAAAUUACGAUUUUAUGGACUGUUAAUGAAGAUUUAAAGCUCUUUAGAAAGCUGAACUAACAGCUUUUCUCUCUCCGAUGUCUCCCCCAGGAUCCUGGGGCAUGCUAUUCAGGAUAAGGUUUAAAGGAACGGUUCCCUCUGGGAAAGAGGAUUCAGUCCAGCCAGUGUCCUCUGCUGUCACUACGUGCCACUCACCAACAGUCCCGGACCAUUUACUAGAAACCAAAGAAUACCAGCAUUGCCACUAUCUCAUCUUCCAACAAGGCAGAGCUCUCAGGUUUUUCUGAAGUACAAUGACUACCUAAUGACUGUGUUAUCCACACACAGUGUCUUAGCCAAUUUUCACAUCAUGUUUCAGAUUACUUACUAGAAAGACAAUACUCGGAAACUGGAGCAACAUGCACAGAUGUGUGCUGCGGUACGUGAUGGCUCUGCCCUGAGCGAUCUGCUACCAGAACUGAAGAUAGAUUAAACACUUUAUAAGUACCUAUGACAAAGAAAUAUAAGUACAUGAUUGCAUUUAGGUAAAAGUGGUUGCUUAUUCACCUGAAAGAAAGCGUAAUGAGCAGUAUUAUUAACCAUAAUCAACUGUCUUUCCAAGUCCAUACAACGAAGCUUUGACAACAGAAAAAAGACCACGUGCAGCAUUUAAACAUAGAAGGAUUAAAAAAAGUUUUUACACAGUUUUGUCUCUAGAUUAAUUAAAAUAUAAAAAUCCAGUUAAAAUAUUCAAAAAGCAAAACACGCAGAAUGGCCAUUCAUUGCAAGUACUGAAAAACGAAGUUAUUCUACAAAAGUAGCUUGUCUUUCCUAACUAUUUGCAUCUAUCAUGUCAAAGUAGAAAGAAGCUCACAGAUUUUCCAUUUGCUUUCUCACAAACCUUGAACCUAAGUCAGUAAGAGUCACAAGCUAAUGGAAUAGACAGUUCUUCAAGGCAGUAUGAACAGUCCUUUGAUAUGUUCUGCCAGCACGGCCUUUUUGAUGCAUGAACCUUCCCACAACAUUCAGAGCAUGAAUCCAGUGACAACACGGACAAUCAAUAUUCAAGAGAAUCAGACACUUCUGAAAAUUGUUUCCCUUCCUUUGUUGUUUGAAAGUGCUUCCAGAAUCCUGACAGAACGAACACAGCUGGGCCAUUACAACAACUCCAGGUUACAUCAGCUUUGGUGCACUGAAGGAUUUCUACAGGAAAUACACUUUAAUAAUUUCCUAAACUCCCAGCCACUUGAUAACAACAUUCAUUGCUACCAAUUUUUAUUACAAUGAGAAAACCGUUCACAAAACAGCUACCGUCACUUCAGCGACCAGUCUUGUAGAAACCUUUUUUUUUUUUUUGGAAUGGCAUUUCUCAAUUCAGCACAACAGUUCCUAAGUUGUUUAGCAUGCAACUAACACUAAAAGAAGAGAAAAUAGAACAACAGAAAAUCAGGCUUACAGUCUUGCGUUCUCCAUUGUGACUAACCACACGGAUGAUUUCUCCCGUAGGAAUAAGUUCAAUUUGCAGUUCCAUCUUUCCAAGAUGCAGAUACCCUGACAAUGACCAUGGAGAAAGAAGACCAGUCUAAACACCGGGUAUUUCAAGACUUGCUGUUAUGGGACAAUUCCAUCAAUCUUAUCUGAAUAUGCAAGGCUGAGUUUUCAGCUCUACCACAGAAGAAUUCCAGAUGAUACUGCUUGUCAAAAAACAAGCCAAACCAAAAAAACAACCAACCUACGUAGAUGUUAAGAUUAACAAGCAUUUGGCCAUUCAAGAGUGGACACAACACCAGCCUGGUCUGUAGCUGAAAAGAAAUGGCCUGGCACUGUUCUGUGUUUUGUAUCUGGAAUCACUCUUACACUGGCCUUAGCUGUUAUAUAAAUUGUUGGACUGGGCCACUCCUGGUUUCCUUGACCACUUACUUUCCAAUAUAAGGCUACAUUGAAAAAGAGAUUUUAUCAGAUUAAAGAAGAAACCACCACUGUCACUUCCUGAAACAAAAACCAGACCUAUUCUCAGUAACAUGGAGCAAUACCGUGUCUAUCUUAUCUACCCUUCAUAUGUGGAGACGUUACGAAGAUUAAUAGUCCAGAACGUGAAGGCUGUUUAACUGGAAUGAUUUGUGACACUGAUGCCAGAAUUGGUUUUUUUUGUUUUUUUUUUUAAAGUGGGCUACAAGUAAAUGAGAACAAGAGAAAAAGGGUAGACUAAGCAGAGGCUUUAAAGUGUGUGUGUAUUUACCCUAUAAUUAUAUACAUAAACAAAAUAGAAAAGGAAGGAGAGGAACAUGGGGUGAUCUUUGCCAAUGCCAGGCAGUAGGCUUUAAGACCAGUUACAGUAGAGCAUGUAUUGAUAAACAAUGCUGAAACAUUUCCCUCCAGGGCUGAUGUCUGUAUUUGAUAACUUUCAGUUUCAGUCAAAGUAUGGUUGACAGGUUAAAGUAUUAUUUUUUUUCCUUCUUUUUGUGAUGCUAGCAGAUUACUAUUCUCUGAACUCUUCCUAUACCCCUGCAUUUCCUCUCACCAGUUUAUGUUCCCAGAUCUCAUGCUUCUUCUGAUUUGUGUAUUUUCCUCCAGUGAUCCUUCCAACCUGUGCUCCAAAUGCUCCCACACGGGUUCUCUUGCUACUUUCUAGACUGCACGAAUGAGAUGUUCUUACUUUUUUGAUAGCAGGGACCUUGUGAGGGGAAGAAGACAGUUGCACUGUAAUACGAGAGGUGGGACGUACACACACACACAUUAUUUUUCUUAAGUUGAAGCUAUUGAACAUACAAGCUCAGUAUAGUUCCCUUCAGUAGCUCAGUUUCCAGGGUAACUGUAGACAGUUUAUACUGCAUAGAUUAAUCAGGUGGCAAGUACCAUUGCCUCGGCUGUCAAAGCAGCCACACAAACAGCUUACUGCACGCUGUAUGCUAUACAACUCCCUGAUGUUUGAGUUUGCCCCCUAAAGAAAGGGUUAAAGAAUACAGAGAUGAGGGAAAGCUGAACAUGUAGAAGACUGGCCUCAAAACACUUCUAUCUUUACACAGAAAUCUUUUUCCCCAUUCUUUUUUACUAUCAGUAUAAAGAAAAAACAGGUAUAAGAAAAUUAGGAUACUACCUGCCUAAUGUAUGAGUUAUAAAGUUAAAUAAUAUUGGUACUCCUGCAUUGAUGGGCACUUUCUACUAUCUCUAUAUCAUGCUGUUAAAAAAAAUUGCUUCAUUUCAAUCACCUUCAAAUAGCAAAUACCUAUAUCUAAGGACAGAAAAGGCCAUGAGAAAUAUUCCUGUUAAUAAUGCAGCGUUCUCAGAAAAGGUAUCGUUUCCUCUCUCAAGGAAAACCUAAUUCAAACUCUGUCCAACUGGCCUUUCCACUGCAGUAUAUUAAGACAAGUUCAUCUGAGUGUCGCUUAGUGUCCAAGAGCAGAGAAGGAAGUAGUGGUAGUAGAAACAAUAGUCUUUAUCAGAAGGUAUUUUUAGGGUCUAACAAACACGCAAGACAUCUUCGAAAUAUUUCCUGUUUACACAGAGCUGUACUAUCUAUGUGCAAUGAUAUACUGCGUAUCCUGAGGUUAGUUAGGAAUCAGAGGUAUAAGGAAGUUAAAUAAGGCUAUACUGACGAACACUCCUCAGUAGACAUAUUUCAUAUUUUAAAAUAAAUUCUCUAACAGCAGGGAAUUGUGAAGUUACCUUUAGAAGGAAGCAAUUUGGUAGCAAACGUACAUGAAAAAUACAGAAAGUUAAAAUAUGAAGUAUAAUGUAAGAGACUUUUCACAAAGAAAAAAUAUCUCAAAUUACAUAACCUGUGAAAAAGUGGAUUUAGUAGAACCUGUUCUUAAAUGCUAAGGAAGCAUUUUAAGUGGUUUGAGCAUUUUUACAGGGAAAAUAUUGAAACCAAAGUUUCAGGGAAUGAGAAGUGAGAACUCUAAUAGAUCUAGGGAUGCCUCACGAGUAGCAACUGUUACUGACCCCUUUUUUUCAUUGUUUCCCUUGGCUAAAACAGCACUCCAAUUCUUCUCUUUAACUGUGUUAUUGUCAACUGUCAUUCAUCCAACUCCUCCCCAUCAGCCUUUUUUCUUCUAUCCAGCUAGAAACCAGUUAAGUCAAUUUUGAAGAGACUGUGUAAUAGAGGAAUUGUGGAAACAAAUAUGCAAGUUAGAUUCAAAAUACUCUCACCAGAAAAUAUAGUACUUUGAUCACAAAUAAUACAGACGUCUGUAUGGGACAGGACUAAACGUCACCUAUAUUUCACUGCCUCCUGUUAAAAGGCCUAUGCUAUUCUACGUUUGAAAGCAUUACUGACAGCAUAAAAGUAAUUUCCAAAAUUAAUAAUGAGAACUAAAAAAGCCUAAAUCACAGACAAUUUGUCUUACUAAACAAACCAGGCCCCAGGUUGAUCAGAGAAGUUCCCAGUGUUGUGAACAGGAGGAAAUACUGAAAACUGAUGAUGAGAAGUAUUGUGGAUAACAUUAAUAUAAACACAAAAACUAUGAAUCUUCUGUACAGAACUUCAUUUAGGGAAGAAUUUCCAAAACACAACUGUACACAUCUUCUCAGGGAAAACAAACAAACAACGACAACACAGAAAACCACCACAUACAAACUUGUGUCCCUGUGUAAGCACGCAUAACUCCAUUGGUAUAGACAGAGCUGCACUCAUACUAACAAGGACAGAAAGUAUAGGUCAAAUUGAAUGAAAGCAGGUUCAAUCUCCUGAAAUAAAGGUUUUGAACCAAGCAAGUGCUAAGUUUCUAACAGAAAAAAAAAAAUAGUUGCCAACCAAAUAAGCUAGUGCUCCUUUGUUACUAACAUGUGCUCUGCAAUUCAAUAUUACUGAAAUUAUGUCCUACGGGUGGAAUAAAAGAGCAAGAGGACCUUUUUUUUCCCAACAAUUUAAACAUGCAACUAUUUCAGAUGAAUUUUGUAUUAAGAUACCUUUUCUAGGGAGGGGGGAGAAAAUUCCAAACAGAUGCUUACAGCAUCAUUUAAGUUUAUUUAACACUAGUCUCAUUUACAGGGGAAAAAAAAGUCUUUUUAGAUCAAUCUGCUUUAUCCAAAAGAAAAGCAGUAUUUGCCUUUGGCCUUCUGUUUCAGUCCAAAGCCACACCACAUAUGUUAUUAGUGACGUAUUUCCAUUCUAAAAUACUACUGCAUGUGCACAUUAAACAUCACGAGAGUUUCUUGGAGAAAGGUUACCAUGCAUGGAAUCGAUUCUCUCCACCCAAGCCAAUGUCUUUGUUCUCAAAUUAAUUGAGGCCAUGUAGAACACUUCACCGCCAGGAUUUAUUUUAGUCAUACAUGAAAAGAAAACACAUGAGUAUAAAAACAUUUCCAGUGAUCAUAACAUCCAAUCAAAGGUGCUUUUAAAAAAAAGAUAAAUUUCAUUAGAAAUUGCAUCAUUACAGAUCAUGGAAUAGUUUGAAAAGCUACCAUAGGUAACAGUAGUAAACAAAACUGCUACUGUGUGCAUAAUCUUAAAGAAGUAUACAGUUCUGUGCAGCAUCUUCCUAACACACGAUCAGAUUCAAUCGCAGCUGCUGUGGACAUUUUCAGUGAAGUCCUGUGGUGCAAAGGAUUAGUUUACAAAAUGCAGCUUCUAUCUCCAGUGAUUGAGAGAGUUAUCAGUUCUCAUACAACAUUAAGGAGCUUGGGUUUCUCGCCCAUGUAAAGCGGCUGUAUGGCUCCCCCUCUGAGCUGCUCGUGAAUGGCAGAUGCACCCUGAUUAGAAGAAACUGGAUCUUGGUCCACAAUAAAUCACCAGCUAUGGUCUGGAAUUCAAAGACCACAGUUCUUUGAGCUCUCCAUGGGAAUCUCCUUGCAUGGAGUAUGGUAUUACAGUUACACAAGAAAAAACAGAAACAGUAACGACUCAAAACCUGCAAGUUAUUUGCACUUCAGUAGGGAUUUGUCUGAUGCUGUAACUGCCAUGAAAAGUCACACAUCUGAAAGAUUUAGUGCAACACGAAUUCUUGUAAGACUGCUACAAAUGUGAAAACGGUUUCUAAUAUUGUUCCAAAGUAUAAUAGGAAUGUCAACGGUAAACCUCAAGGCGGUUUUAAUCCAUGCAGUGAACACAGGAUCUUUCUGAACCUGCCCUUCCUACUUACAACUGGAAAUAUUUCCCAAUAGGGAGCAUUAGUUGAGAUACAACUGAAAUUUACAGAGGCUAGGUGCUCUUAAACCCCAAACUGCAACAAUCUAACCAGUUCACCCAUGUUAAAGUUUCCACAAUAUACAAAGACUCUGGGACCCCAGAAGGUUUUAUACAGUGAAUGACAUAAGGAAGCAAUUGAGAAAGAAAUUUCACAUCAAGGUGUACACUUUCUAUCGCAAAAGAAUCCUAACAGAAAUAACGAAGACUAUAAGAAUAAAAUAGAGACCGCUCAGUUCUGAAGCAAAAUAAACACACCAGCAGCAGUAUCCUUUGCUUCACUCUUCCACUUGAGCCAAAUUUUCUCUUUUCCAUCCAUAACCAACAAGACAGUGAUUAGCAACUAACUUUACUUACCAUACAUAGUAGGUAACUCAAAGCUGUGUCUAGAACAUGGAGACUAACAAGUGCUCUUUUCUGUCACUGAAAUCUGAGAUUCUGUGGAAUGGUGGUGUCUCUUCCAAAUCCUUUCCAAAGACCUCCCUUUCCUCAUCAACAAAUAAAACCAUUUCUAAAGCUAACUACCUUUCAGGUUUUUAAAAGUACUUGAUCUUUCUUAUGCUAUCUCCACCCUCAAGUGCACAGGAUACAUUCAAGUCUAAGCACCACUAGGAAAAGAAAUUUUGCAGACUGAUUGCUAGAAGUGAAAGACUUCCACAAUUUUUGGUAGCACAGAUUACGCUAUAGAAAAAAACUCGUUCCACUAAAUUUCCCAUUUAUAAUUCAUGUCACUCUGUAGUAUGCGUAACAAUAAUGUAGCCUAAUAGUAUCAGGGAUGAACUAUGUCUUUAGCUUUAUAAAUAUGAUACAGCAGAGAAGAGGCAGGGUUAGCAUGUUCAGUAGCUCUUUGCCAACAAGUGCUUUAUGAGCUAUGAACUGCCCACCUAUGCUAAAGCAUUUCUCAAAUGAAGCUCCUGCUUCCAGAAGUUUUGAGAUCCUGCUUAACUCUGAGCCAGGGACCAACAUAAAAGUAUUUUUACUUUAAAAAAAAAAUAAUCAGAGGGAGAAAAGGCAUAGGCAAAUUGAUGAACUGUUUUGUAAAAGAAGAAUCUACCCCCAAAACAAAACAGGACAAGUGUGUUUCAAUAAAAGUAUCUCAAUCUGGAAAAAUUAGAAAUGAAAAAUCAGAAAUGAAAAAUCUUACAAACAGGUAUCAGCAAGGCAUGAAGAAAAAGGAUGUACUACAGAAGGAAAAUUUACACGCUCCGAAGAUUAUGUUCUUCUGUGACUUAUUAUCACAUGUGUUUCCCAAAAGGUACUUAGCUUACAUUUAAGAGUCAAAUAAUUUUUUUAAAAUAAGCUAGAUAGCUAUAUCUAAUAAAUAAUUUUUAAAUAACUUCAUUUAAACUAAAAAAACUUGAAAUCAGUGAUUAAGUGGUUACAGCUUAGUGAAUACUGUAUUGUAAAUAAAAAUAUCCUCUGCAAAAAAAAAAAAA